rnacentral:rRNA from 1 species
AUUGAACGCUGGCGGCAUGCCUUACACAUGCAAGUCGAACGGCAGCACGGGAGCAAUCCUGGUGGCGAGUGGCGAACGGGUGAGUAAUACAUCGGAACGUGCCCAAUCGGUGGGGGAUAACGCAGCGAAAGCUGUGCUAAUACCGCAUAAGAUCUACGGAUGAAAGCGAGGGGACCGCAAGGCCUUGCGCGAAUGGAGCC